rnacentral:rRNA from 1 species
GACGAACGCUGGCGGCGUGCUUAACACAUGCAAGUCGAACGGUGAAGCGCCUUCCUUUUUGGUGGGUGUGGAUGAGUGGCGAACGGGUGAGUAACACGUUAGUAACCUGCCCCCUUCUUCUGGAUAACCGCAUGAAAGUGUUGCUAAUACGGGAUAUUCUGGUGCUGUCGCGUGAUUGGUCUGUGAAAGAUAUUGUUUCGGUGGGGGAGGGGUUCGCGGCCGAUCGGGUGGUUGGGGUGGUGCUGGCCUACCAAGGCGGUGACGGGUGGACGGGCUGAGAGGGUGGACGGCCAGAGAGGGAAGGAGACAAGGCGAAGACUCCGACGGGAGGCAGCAGGGGAGAAUAGUGAACAGUGGGCAGAAGCCUGAAGCAGCGACGCGGCGGGAGGGAUGGAGGCCUGCGCGUUGUGACCCUCUUUCGGCAGUGAAGCAGGCUUGCCUCGUUUGUGGGUGGGUUGACGGUAGCUUGAUAAGAAGCGCCGGCUAACUACGUG